rnacentral:misc_RNA from 1 species
UACGUAGGGUGCGAGCGUUGUCCGGAAUUAUUGGGCGUAAAGAGCUUGUAGGCGGUUUGUCGCGUCUGCUGUGAAAACUCAGGGCUUAACCCUGAGCCUGCAGUGGGUACGGGCAGACUAGAGUAUGGUAGGGGAGACUGGAAUUCCUGGUGUAGCGGUGGAAUGCGCAGAUAUCAGGAGGAACACCGAUGGCGAAGGCAGGUCUCUGGGCCAUAACUGACGCUGAGAAGCGAAAGCAUGGGUAGCGAACAGG